rnacentral:tRNA from 1 species
CCAUAGCUCAGUCGGUAGAACGCAUGACUGUUAAUCAUGAUGUCACUGGUUCGAGCCCAGUUGG